CAGUACUCUCUCAUGUCUCUAGUCCUCCAGGUGUCUGUCAGUCAGUACUCUCUCAUGUCUCUAGUCCUCCAGGUGUCUGUCAGUCAGUACUCUGUCUCAUGUCUCUAGUCCUCCAGGUGUCUGUCAGUCAGUACUCUGUCUCAUGUCUCUAGUCCUCCAGGUGUCUGUCAGUCAGUACUCUCUCAUGUCUCUAGUCCUCCAGGUGUCUGUCAGUCAGUACUCUCUCAUGUCUCUAGUCCUCCAGGUGUCUGUCAGUCAGUACUCUCUCAUGUCUCUAGUCCUCCAGGUGUCUGUCAGUCAGUACUCUCUCAUGUCUCUAGUCCUCCAGGUGUCUGUCAGUCAGUACUCUCUCAUGUCUCUAGUCCUCCAGGUGUCUGUCAGUCAGUACUCUCUCAUGUCUCUAGUCCUCCAGGUGUCUGUCAGUCAGUACUCUGUCUCAUGUCUCUAGUCCUCCAGGUGUCUGUCAGUCAGUACUCUGUCAUGUCUCUAGUCCUCCAGGUGUCUGUCAGUCAGUACUCUCUCAUGUCUCUAGUCCUCCAGGUGUCUGUCAGUCAGUACUCUCUCAUGUCUCUAGUCCUCCAGGUGUCUGUCAGUCAGUACUCUGUCUCAUGUCUCUAGUCCUCCAGGUGUCUGUCAGUCAGUACUCUGUCUCAUGUCUCUAGUCCUCCAGGUGUCUGUCAGUCAGUACUCUCUCAUGUCUCUAGUCCUCCAGGUGUCUGUCAGUCAGUACUACUGUCCUGUAGGUCAGUCCAACCCUCUUCCUGGAGAUUUACUGUCCUGUAGGUUUUCAGUCCAACCCUCUUCCUGGAGAUUUACUGUCCUGUAGGUUUUCAGUCUAACCCUCUUCCUGGAGA